rnacentral:lncRNA from 1 species
AUGGUAAAGGAAGUCCCCAGUGUUUCUAAUCCCCCGCUCCGCCCACAGCCCUUCCCUCCUCAUCACCCACGUCUCUACCUUCCUGCCCAUUUGCUGUUUGAAUGUCUUUGUUCUGUUUGGUUCCCUUUGGAUUUUUUUAAAGUUCAAACUGGUUUUCUUGUUUUCAGCAUGUUAUGUAAAAGCAUGCACAAACAAAAGGCCUGGCAGUGGAAAGAGAGCGGCGUUCGGGGAGUAGGAAAGAAAGGAGAUGGGAAGAGAUUGUGGUAUUUACUGGGAUGGGGUUGCAGAAGAGGAAAAGCCUGCAAGUUUCUUCUUGUUUUUUUAGCAAAACCAACCACAUUUUUAUUCACCUAUGAAGUCAUCAAAAGGCUGAAGUUUGAAAUAGUUCUGGCCAUUCUGAAGGUAAAAUAAUGCAAUUUCCAGCUUGUUUCCGUACUGUGGUUUUGGGAAUAUCAGUAGGGUCUAAGUUUAGUCAUUAUAAUAUAAAAAAGUCUCUUUUUAGGGAAAAAAAUAAUUCAAAGGCUGGCUAUACAUUAGAGCACACAUAAGAUAUAGCUAAGAAAGAAAAUGAUUCUGUUACAUUUUGGCCAUAUAAUACUGCCCAUGAAUAGACAG